AUCCAGUCGAUGAGUGCUGAAUAGGACGAAACGCGCGUCCUCGAU
rfam:Schistosoma haematobium scaffold579_6, whole genome shotgun sequence.